UAGAGUUCCCUAUGUACCCGAUCCGUCCACCAUCUCGCAGGAUAUCAAAUAAGACUACCAUUUAUUAAUUCACAUGACCAAACAAUUUCACGUUUGCAUAUUAAUUACCAAUUUCACAAAUCAACCGUAAAUCAUGCAAGACAAGCAAUAUAUAUAUAUAUAUCAAAGAAGCACAACUGAAUCAUUCAACCAUUCUAGUAUAU
rnacentral:lncRNA from 1 species